rnacentral:rRNA from 1 species
ACCUACGGGACGUAGCAGUGAGGAAUAUUGGUCAAUGGGCGGAAGCCUGAACCAGCCAAGUCGCGUGAGGGAAUAAGGCCCUACGGGUCGUAAACCUCUUUUGCCGGGGAGCAAGGGCGGGGACGUGUCCCGGCCCGGAGAGUACCCGGAGAAAAAGCAUCGGCUAACUCCGUGCCAGCAGCCGCGGUAAUACGGAGGAUGCGAGCGUUAUCCGGAUUUAUUGGGUUUAAAGGGUGCGUAGGCGGGCUUUUAAGUCAGCGGUAAAAAUUCGGGGCUCAACUUGUAGACUGCAGUUGAAACUGGUU